rnacentral:rRNA from 1 species
GAUGAACGCUAGCGGCAGGCUUAACACAUGCAAGUCGAGGGGUAGAAGUUGCUUGCAACUUUGAGACCGGCGCACGGGUGCGUAACGCGUAUGCAAUCUACCUUAUACAGAGGGAUAGCCCAGAGAAAUUUGGAUUAAUACCCCAUAGUAUUUUCGAAUGGCAUCAUUUGAUUAUUAAAGUUCCAACGGUAUAAGAUGAGCAUGCUUCCCAUUAGCUAGAUGGUAAGGUAACGGCUUACCAUGGCUACGAUGGGUAGGGGUCCUGAGAGGGAGAUCCCCCACACUGGUACUGAGACACGGACCAGACUCCUACGGGAGGCAGCAGUGAGGAAUAUUGGGCAAUGGUCGCAAGACUGACCCAGCCAUGCCGCGUGCAGGAUGACGGUCCUAUGGAUUGUAAACUGCUUUUGUACAGGAAGAAACACUCCUACGUGUAGGAGCUUGACGGUACUGUAAGAAUAAGGAUCGGCUAACUCCGUGCCAGCAGCCGCAGUAACAC